UUGCACUGUUCGUAACCUGUGGACAGGCUUUUCUGCUAAUGGGUUCCAUUCCAGUGCUAUAGCAAUACCCAACGUAAGAAAAAGUUGGCUGUUUCUGCCAAUGUCUUCUCUAUUUGGGUAACACUC
ensembl:snoRNA